rnacentral:rRNA from 1 species
CAGUCGCCGCGGGAAUACGAAGGGGGCUAGCGUUGCUCGGAAUUACUGGGCGUAAAGGGCGCGUAGGCGGAUGUUCAAGUCAGAGGUGAAAGCCCAGGGCUCAACCUUGGAACUGCCUUUGAUACUGGACAUCUUGAGUAUGGGAGAGGUGAGUGGAACUCCGAGUGUAGAGGUGAAAUUCGUAGAUAUUCGGAAGAACACCAGUGGCGAAGGCGACUCACUGGCCCAUUACUGACGCUGAGGCGCGAAAGCGUGGGGAGCAAACAGGAUUAGAUACCCCCGUAGUCCCUGUCUCUUAUAC